AACGGGGGGGGCAAGUGUUCUUCGGAAUCACUGGGCGUAAAGGGAGCGUAGGCGGCAUGGUAAGUCAGAUGUGAAAUCCCGGGGCUCAACCCCGGAACUGCAUCCGAUACUGCCUUGCUUGAGGGUUGGAGAGGUGACUGGAAUUAUCGGUGUAGCAGUGAAAUGCGUGGAUAUCGAUAGGAACACUCGUGGCGAAAGCGAGUCACUGGACAACAUCUGACGCUGAGGCUCGAAGGCUAGGGGAGCAAAAGGG
rnacentral:rRNA from 1 species